AUUAUUGGGCGUAGAGGGCUCGCAGGCGGUUUCUUAAGUCUGAUGUGAAAGCCCCCGGCUCAACCGGGGAGGGUCAUUGGAAACUGGGGAACUUGAGUGCAGAAGAGGAGAGUGGAAUUCCACGUGUAGCGGUGAAAUGCGUAGAGAUGUGGAGGAACACCAGUGGCGAAGGCGACUCUCUGGUCUGUAACUGACGCUGAGGAGCGAAAGCGUGGGGAGCGAACAGGAUUAGAUACCCUGGUAGUCCACGCCGUAAACGAUGAGUGCUAAGUGUUAGGGGGUUUCCGCCCCUUAGUGCUGCAGCUAACGCAUUAAGCACUCCGCCUGGGGAGUACGGUCGCAAGACUGAAACUCAAAGGAAUUGACGGGGGCCCGCACAAGCGGUGGAGCAUGUGGUUUAAUUCGAAGCAACGCGAAGAACCUUACCAGGUCUUGACAUCCUCUGACAAUCCUAGAGAUAGGACGUCCCCUUCGGGGGCAGAGUGACAGGUGGUGCAUGGUUGUCGUCAGCUCGUGUCGUGAGAUGUUGGGUUAAGUCCCGCAACGAGCGCAACCCUUGAUCUUAGUUGCCAGCAUUCAGUUGGGCACUCUAAGGUGACUGCCGGUGACAAACCGGAGGAAGGUGGGGAUGACGUCAAAUCAUCAUGCCCCUUAUGACCUGGGCUACACACGUGCUACAAUGGACAGAACAAAGGGCAGCGAAACCGCGAGGUUAAGCCAAUCCCACAAAUCUGUUCUCAGUUCGGAUC
rnacentral:rRNA from 1 species